GAGUUGUAAUAACAAGGGAAAUGUCAUUGG
rnacentral:misc_RNA from 1 species